GGUUCCAUUGUGUAAUGGCUAGCAGUCUGAACUUUGAAUCCAAUGAUCCGAGUUCAAGUCUUGGUGGAACCU